rnacentral:rRNA from 1 species
AGUGAACGCUGGCGGUAGGCCUAACACAUGCAAGUCGAACGGAAGCACAGUAAGAGCUUGCUCUUACGGGUGGCGAGUGGCGGACGGGUGAGGAAUACAUCGGAAUCUACUUUUUAGUGGGGGAUAACGUAGGGAAACUUACGCUAAUACCGCAUACGACCUACGGGUGAAAGCAGGGGAUCUUCGGCCCUUGCGCGAUUGAAUGAGCCGAUGUCGGAUUAGUUAGUUGGCGGGGUAAAGGCCCACCAAGGCGACGAUCCGUAGCUGGUGUGAGAGGAUGAUCAGCCACACCGGAACUGAGACACGGUCCAGACUCCUACGGGAGGCAGCAGUGGGGAAUAUUGGACAAUGGGCGCAAGCCUGAUCCAGCCAUACCGCGUGGGUGAAGAAGGCCUUCGGGUUGUAAAGCCCUUUUGUUGGGAAAGAAAAGCAGCAGGUUAAUACCCCGCUGUUCUGACGGUACCCAAAGAAUAAGCACCGGCUAACUUCGUG